GAUGAACGCUGGCGGCGUGCCUAAUACAUGCAAGUCGAGCGAAUGGAUUGAGAGCUUGCUCUUAUGAAGUUAGCGGCGGACGGGUGAGUAACACGUGGGUAACCUGCCCAUAAGACUGGGAUAACUCCGGGAAACCGGGGCUAAUACCGGAUAACAUGUUGAACCGCAUGGUUCGAAAUUGAAGGGCGGCUUCGGCUGUCACUUAUGGAUGGACCCGCGUCGCAUUAGCUAGUUGGUGAGGUAACGGCUCACCAAGGCAACGAUGCGUAGCCGACCUGAGAGGGUGAUCGGCCACACUGGGACUGAGACACGGCCCAGACUCCUACGGGAGGCAGCAGUAGGGAAUCUUCCGCAAUGGACGAAAGUCUGACGGAGCAACGCCGCGUGAGUGAUGAAGGCUUUCGGGUCGUAAAACUCUGUUGUUAGGGAAGAACAAGUGCUAGUUGAAUAAGCUGGCACCUUGACGGUACCUAACCAGAAAGCCACGGCUAACUACGUGCCAGCCGCCGCCGUAA
rnacentral:rRNA from 1 species